GGGGGGAGGCCGGAUCCUGGGCUGUGUCCCGGCGCCCUGUGCUCCAGGGCCGUUGGAUUCGCGCUCCCGGCCGUGUAGCCCCCU
rfam:Canis lupus familiaris chromosome 1, whole genome shotgun sequence.